rnacentral:rRNA from 1 species
AACGAACGCUGGCGGCAUGCCUAACACAUGCAAGUCGAACGAGACCUUCGGGUCUAGUGGCGCACGGGUGCGUAACGCGUGGGAACCUGCCCUUAGGUUCGGAAUAACUCCCCGAAAGGGGUGCUAAUACCGGAUAAUGUCUUCGGACCAAAGAUUUAUCGCCUUUGGUUGGGCCCGCGUUGGAUUAGCUAGUUGGUAGGGUAAAAGCCUACCAAGGCGACGAUCCAUAGCUGGUCUGAGAGGAUGAUCAGCCACACUGGGACUAAGACACGGCCCAGACUCCUACGGGAGGCAGCAGUGGGGAAUAUUGGACAAUGGGCGAAAGCAUGAUCCAGCAAUGCCGCGUGAGUGAUGAAGGCCUUAGGGUUGUAAAGCUCUUUUAACCGGGAUGAUAAUGACAGUACCGGGAGAAUAAGCUCCGGCUAACUCCGUG